rnacentral:rRNA from 1 species
UUUAUGGAGAGUUUGAUCCUGGCUCAGGAUGAACGCUGGCGGAGUGCCUAAUAGAUGCAAGUCGAGAGAACGGACGAGAAGCUUGCUUCUCUGAUGUUAGCGUCGGACGGGUGAGUAACACGUGGAUAACCUACCUAUUAGACUGUGAUAACUUCGGGAAACCUGAGCUAAUACCGGAUAAUAUUUUGAACCGAAUGGUUCUUAUGUGAAAUACGGUAUUGCUGUCACUUAU